GAAUUCGUGUAGGCUAGAGAACUGCCGGUGAAUUUGCAUAAUAUCUUGAAUCUUGUAGCCUAUGGAGAAACUGUAGCCUACCCAGUGUUUCUUUUACUGUCUGUGUGUAGCCUAGGAGUAGUUUAGUAGUAGCCUAGUUUUAAAAUGGAUUUCAGAAUUCGUCCCCCUAAGCCCGAUGACUUCAAAGAUGUUUUCCGCAUGGUCACGGAGCUGUCUCUUCUUGAAAAGUCACCUGAUUUGCAGAUAUCCAGGGAAGAGUUGAAGCAGGACCUUUUCUGUAAAACUCCUUUCCUUCAGUGCCUCAUUGCAGAAGUACCAGCACAUUGUAAGACUUGGGAAGGCCAUACAACUGUUGCAUAUACUCUUUUUACAAAUGCCUACUGCACUUGGAAUGGGAGGGCAGUGUAUUUGGGAGAUUUCUAUGUCAUGCCUGAAUGCAGAGGAAAAGGAGUUGGGAGAGCACUUUUGAGUACAGUGGCAAAGGUGGGAAAGGAACAACACUGUGCAAUUAUGUUGACAGAGAUGAGAGGCAACACACCGCUCAUAGACUUUUAUAUUGCUAAAGGUGGGGAGGACCUCACAGUUACAGAAAGACGCCACUUUCUGCGCUUUGACGGAGAUGCCUUGGACAAACUUGCACAGGAAGCACCACAAUGUACUUGAAAAAAUCUAUUGCAAAAAGUUUUUUUUUUAAUGAAAGACAAAGUACUUGCAUAAUGUUUAUGAACAUUUUUACUUAGCACAUGUGAUAAACAAAUUAGCCAGUGGAUGGUGCUACCUAUGACGCGCAAACAAGCAUUUGCUUUGCAUAUAGGACAGGAACAGCUUUCAUACCGUGUGUUAAUAGGGUGUAGCUUCAGGUAGGACCAGGGUCUACUACAUCCAGGAUUGACUGGACUGCUGAUUUAUUGUUAUUGAUUUAUACAAUAUUAUUUUCCCUUCACCCUCUAUAUAAAUCUGCCACCCCUCAACAUCCCACCAUUUUCUCCGUCUUUGCCUAUUUUUGUCAGCUGGUCAGUCACAGUGAUGACGCCAUCACAAGACAAGAAUACAUUUUGAGUAAUUCAUCAACUUCCAUCCCACUCUGCCAAUGUUUAUCCAGCCACAUUUUUACCAUAUUUGGGGGGCCGCACUCCUGUAUUGCUGCAUCAUGUGAGAGUGACUUAAUGUCCUCCAGGACAGACCGCAAAUACCCAUGACUCUGGGCAUAAGGUCAUAACAAUAUGACAUGCUGGGGUAAAUGCACCAUGAAAACAGGAAACAUUACACUUCACAUGAUCUUUCAUGUUGAAACUCCAAUAUAUGCAACAAUAUUUAAAAGGGGUUAUGCAACGUUGGGGGGGGGUAAUUGUUAUUGUAAUUCAAGAGUCUGUAGAUAUACCGUCGCUAUGAUAAACAGGAUAUGAUUUCUGAGCCUAUUGAAUAAGAUGAAAUAUCAUCAGGCCUAUCUAAUGUAAAUGGUGUCACACAUUGUGUCUUACUGGCACAUUGUUUCACUUUUCCUGGUCAUUAAAUUUUUUACAGCAAGUUCUUUUCCCGACAUCCUCACACUGAGAUGUCCGAUUGCUGUUAACCGUAGGUUAAAUGCAUGCUUUGCACCCACUUCAAAUGAAUUCAUUGACCCACCUCCACUCUACCUCUCCGAAUAAGACGUCACGGCAACACGAGGCAGAGUGCAGAACAGGCGACUAUGUUUCAGCGACUGGGUCGUGCCGAUAGACUAUGCAAAGUAGUACGUAGUAAAAGUCAGGCAACGUGAAUACUUUACACAUUAACUGUUCCGACGUAGUCUGCAUAUCUUUCAGAUAGGCUACACAAUAAAUACUGUGUCGUUCCAUGGUAUAGCUGUUUUAACUAGAUUUUAGACAGAACAACGGAAUCGUGAGCCCAGGAUCCCAUCCGAUCAUUUACCUGGGAUCCUGUGGGUUCAGUUCCCAGCCUCUCAGCAGCCAUGUCUCUGGGGCGACCCCUGCAACUCAUGCGCUCCCUGAGGAAAUCGCCCGCCAUUUUCCAUCACCGCUUCCGCCACGAUCGCACCCAGUCACUAUCACACGGCGACCCCCUCUUCAAGGUGCACUAUCUGGGCACUGAGAAGAUCUUCUCCCUGGACCUGGAGCAGGCCGAGGCCGCCAUCUCCCAUGUGCUGGAGCGAUCUCCGGCUUCGGAGAAGCUGGGCAAGGAGCACGCCUUGGUCGUGCGGCCUCGUUACGUAGAGGUGAAGGAGAUCGCCACAGGGCGGCAGCUCACCAAGACCUACCUCCGGGACAUCGCUUACUGUGCGGCAGACGCAAAGAGGCCAAAUGUGUUCCUCUACAUAUGCAAGCAGCAGGGUCAGCAGCUCCAGUGCCGUGUGUUUUGGUGCAGCCGUCCAGAGAAGGUCAAGGACAUGACAAACUGUUUGGCCCGUUCUUUUCAGAGAGCACUGACCGACUGGCAGGAGACUGGCAGUAGUCGCACACAAGGAGAAGACAAGGCGAAAGAGGGGAGGCCACUUUUAAACAAUGGCAAGGCUAAGAGCUGCACAAUGCCACCAGAUCUCAGGAAAGGUCGCUCCGCAAGAAGGACUUUAAGCUCUCGCAGUCCGCUGAGAGAGAUGAUGAGGAGGACAAGUAUCAGUGACUGAUGGGGGCUUCAAAAGGCCUCCCAUACACCCAUAACAAAACCAAACAGGAGGCCCACUCCUUAGUGCACAGACUUGCCACUCUCUGGCUGUUGUGUGUAUCUAGUGGCACCUGUUCUAAAUAUGGAUUGGAUGACUAAAGAUCUGACUAAAGAUUAAAGAGUUUUUGUUCAGUCAGUGGGUCUUUCCAAUGAGGUCACUGCAUUCAGAUAUCAGGACUAAAUUCAAACUUGUUUUGAUCUGGAAAUGUGUUCACUCUCAAGAUCUUCAUGCAUGUUCUGAGUUCGCUGUCCAGAUGGUGCUAGUUGGUUGGUUAACAGAACACAGUCUAUUCUACAAUGCUAUGUAUUCUCGCCUGUUGAAAGAAUGUUUUGAGAAGUAACAUGAGAAGUAUGGCAUGUCAUUGUCUUAAAACUUUAUAAAAAUCUAGUUACAUGUCUUAUACCACUCAUUUGUACAGAUGUGACAGCACUGAAAAGUUUGGAGGAGCACUAGUUUUGAUAUGCAACAUUGUGUAUGCAUUUGUAUGGUCUCAUCACUUGCCUCUUUUACCUCAAAAGGGAAAGAAAUUAUUUUCUCAAGGCCAAAGAAAAUGGUCAAUUCUGGUCUACAGAAACAUAUGUGUGUUACAUUUUUCUUUUCAUUGCCAUGCAAGUUGUCAGAAUGUUCUUUGGAGAAAUGUCAGCGCUUAAAAGUUAAUAAUGUUUUCAGAACAUGUUGCCAUUUUUACAAAGCUUUGUUUUAUGCAUUUUACAAUUCUGUUUCAUAUUUUCUGUGUCUCUAUAAACAAAGUUAAAUAAGUGGUUACAUUGUGAGAAGCUCCUUUUUAUUGAAUAUUAGGACGACCAGCUUACAAUUCAUCACUAUGCAAACCUACCAACCAGAAGUGGCACAGCCAUGGAUGACAUGAAUAUAAAAGU